ACCUUCGGGCCUCUUGCCAUCGGAUGUGCCCAGAUGGGAUUAGCUAGUAGGUGGGGUAACGGCUCACCUAGGCGACGAUCCCUAGCUGGUCUGAGAGGAUGACCAGCCACACUGGAACUGAGACACGGUCCAGACUCCUACGGGAGGCAGCAGUGGGGAAUAUUGCACAAUGGGCGCAAGCCUGAUGCAGCCAUGCCGCGUGUAUGAAGAAGGCCUUCGGGUUGUAAAGUACUUUCAGCGGGGAGGAA
rnacentral:rRNA from 1 species